rnacentral:rRNA from 1 species
AGAGUUUGAUCAUGGCUCAGAUUGAACGCUGGCGGCAUGCUUUACACAUGCAAGUCGAGCGGCAGCGCGGGGGCAACCCUGGCGGCGAGCGGCGAACGGGUGAGUAACACAUCGGAACGUGUCCUGUGGUGGGGGAUAACCUGGCGAAAGCCAGGCUAAUACCGCAUGGGCUCGUAAGAGCAAAGCGGGGGACUCGCAAGAGCCUCGCGCCGCAGGAGCGGCCGAUGUCCGAUUAGCUAGUUGGUGGGGUAAAGGCUCACCAAGGCGACGAUCGGUAGCUGGUCUGAGAGGAUGAUCAGCCACACUGGGACUGAGACACGGCCCAGACUCCUACGGGAGGCAGCAGUGGGGAAUUUUGGACAAUGGGGGCAACCCUGAUCCAGCCAUGCCGCGUGAGUGAAGAGGGCCUUCGGGUUGUAAAGCUCUUUCGGUGGGAACGAAACGGGUGCGGCUAAUACCUGCGCUCAAUGACGGUACUCACAGAAGAAGCACCGGCUAACUACGUGCCAGCAGCCGCGGUAAUACGUAGGGUGCGAGCGUUAAUCGGAAUUACUGGGCGUAAAGCGUGCGCAGGCGGUGCGCCAAGCUCGAUGUGAAAGCCCCGGGCUUAACCUGGGAAUUGCAUUGAGGACUGGCGUGCUCGAGUGCGGCAGAGGGGGGUGGAAUUCCGCGUGUAGCAGUGAAAUGCGUAGAUAUGCGG